rnacentral:rRNA from 1 species
AUGAACGCUGGCGGCGUGCCUAAUACAUGCAAGUCGAGCGAACAGACGAGGAGCUUGCUCCUCUGACGUUAGCGGCGGACGGGUGAGUAACACGUGGAUAACCUACCUAUAAGACUGGGAUAACUUCGGGAAACCGGAGCUAAUACCGGAUAAUAUAUUGAACCGCAUGGUUCAAUAGUGAAAGACGGUUUUGCUGUCACUUAUAUAUGGAUCCGCGCCGCAUUAGCUAGUUGGUAAGGUAACGGCUUACCAAGGCGACGAUGCGUAGCCGACCUGAGAGGGUGAUCGGCCACACUGGAACUGAGACACGGUCCAGACUCCUACGGGAGGCAGCAGUAGGGAAUCUUCCGCAAUGGGCGAAAGCCUGACGGAGCAACGCCGCGUGAGUGAUGAAGGUCUUCGGAUCGUAAAACUCUGUUAUUAGGGAAGAACAAAUGUGUAAGUAACUAUGCACGUCUUGACGGUACCUAAUCAGAAAGCCACGGCUAACUACGUG